rnacentral:rRNA from 1 species
ACUCAAAUGAAUUGACGGGGACCCGCACAACUGGUGGAGCGUGUGGUUUAAUUCGAGACGAAGCGAAGCACCUUACCAGGGCUUGACAUGCUAGCGUUCUAUUCUACAGAAAUGUAGGAAAUCCGUAAGGAGGUUAGCACAGGUGAUGCAUGGCUGUCGUCAGCUCGUGCCGUGAGGUGUUCCCUUAAGUGGGGAAACGAGCGCAACCCGCAUCUAAUGUUACAUAUUCAUUAGAAACGGUCCCAGUUUCACUGGGAAGGAAGGAGCGGAAGACGUCAAGUCAGCACGUCCCUUAUGCCCUGGGUUACACACACCCUACAAUGGCGAAUAACAAUGGGCUGCAAGCCGGUAACGGCAAGCGAAUCCCACAAAUUUCGCCUCAGUUCAGAUUGAGGUCUGCAACCCGACCUCAUGAAGGCGGAAUCAGUAGUAAUCGCGGAUCAGCAGGCCGCGGUGAAUACGUUCUCGGGUCUUGUACACACCGCCCGU